rnacentral:rRNA from 1 species
AGACAGGUGCUGCAUGGCUGUCGUCAGCUCGUGUUGUGAAAUGUUGGGUUAAGUCCCGCAACGAGCGCAACCCUUAUCCUUUGUUGCCAGCGCGUGAUGGCGGGAACUCAAAGGAGACUGCCGGUGAUAAACCGGAGGAAGGUGGGGAUGACGUCAAGUCAUCAUGGCCCUUACGAGUAGGGCUACACACGUGCUACAAUGGCGUAUACAAAGGGAAGCGACCCCGCGAGGGCAAGCGGAACUCAUAAAGUACGUCGUAGUCCGGAUUGGAGUCUGCAACUCGACUCCAUGAAGUCGGAAUCGCUAGUAAUCGUAGAUCAGAAUGCUACGGUGAAUACGUUCCCGGGCCUUGUACACACCGCCCGUCACACCAUGGGAGUGGGUUGCAAAAGAAGUAGGUAGCUUAACCUCCGGGAGGGCGCUUACCACUUUGUGAUUCAUGACUGGGGUGAAGUCGUAACAAGGUAACCGUAGGGGAACCUGCGGUUGGAUCACCUCCUUA